UAGGGAAUCUUCCGCAAUGGACGCAAGUCUGACGGAGCAACGCCGCGUGAGUGAAGAAGGAUUUCGGUUCGUAAAACUCUGUUGUUAGAGAAGAACAGCGCAUAGAGUAACUGUUAUGCGUGUGACGGUAUCUAACCAGAAAGCCACGGCUAACUACGUGCCAGCAGCCGCGGUAAUACGUAGGUGGCAAGCGUUGUCCGGAUUUAUUGGGCGUAAAGCGAGCGCAGGCGGUCAAUUAAGUCUGAUGUGAAAGCCCCCGGCUCAACCGGGGAGGGUCAUUGGAAACUGGUUGACUUGAGUGCAGAAGAGGAGAGUGGAAUUCCAUGUGUAGCGGUGAAAUGCGUAGAUAUAUGGAGGAACACUAGUGGCGAAGGCGACUCUCUGGUCUGUAACUGACGCUGAGGCUCGAAAGCGUGGGUAGCAAACAGG
rnacentral:rRNA from 1 species